CCUACGGGUGGCAGCAGUGAGGAAUAUUGGUCAAUGGACGAGAGUCUGAACCAGCCAAGUAGCGUGAAGGAUGACUGCCCUAUGGGUUGUAAACUUCUUUUAUAUGGGAGUAAAAUGUUCCACGUGUGGGAUUUUGUAUGUACCAUAUGAAUAAGGAUCGGCUAACUCCGUGCCAGCAGCCGCGGUAAUACGGAGGAUCCGAGCGUUAUCCGGAUUUAUUGGGUUUAAAGGGAGCGUAGGUGGAUUGUUAAGUCAGUUGUGAAAGUUUGCGGCUCAACCGUAGAAUUGCAGUUGAAACUGGCAGUCUUGAGUACAGUAGAGGUAGGCGGAAUUCGUGGUGUAGCGGUGAAAUGCUUAGAUAUCACGAAGAACUCCGAUUGCGAAGGCAGUUCACUGGACUGCAACUGACACUGAGGCUCGAAAGUGUGGGUAUCAAACAGGAUUAGAUACCCUUGUAGUC
rnacentral:rRNA from 1 species